rnacentral:tRNA from 1 species
GCCCCAGUGGCGCAAUGGAUAGCGCUUUGGUCUUUUAAUCCGGAGGUUGAGGGUUCGAGUCGCUCCUGGGGUG